GACAGAGGUGCCGAGCGUUAGGCGGAAUCACUGGGCUUAAAGCGUGUGUAGGCGGCCCGUUAAGUGCCUCGUGAAAUCCCCCGGCUCAACCGGGGAACUGCCGGGCAUACUGGCGGGCUUGGGUCGCUCAGGGGCAGACGGAACAGGCGGUGGAGCGGUGAAAUGCGUAGAGAUUGGAAAGAACACCGAUGGCGAAGGCACUUUACUGGGCUAUUACUAACACUCAGAGACGAAAGCUAGGGUAGCAAAUGGG
rnacentral:rRNA from 1 species